rnacentral:lncRNA from 1 species
AACCGAGUAACGUUCAUGGAAAUCGCGCAAAGGUUGGUCCUGCUGGGAUUGGAUCCUUCUCUCCCUCCUCAACCCACCCUUUUCUCUCCUCCUCCUCCUCUCUCUGCAUUGAUCUUUGUGCAUGGAAAAAGUUCAAGAAUUAUUCUUUCCGAGAAGGCACGGGCGUCCGCUGAUUUCUCCCAGGCCAACCCCUUUGAAUAAUGAAGACUCCUCCCA